rnacentral:misc_RNA from 1 species
GAUGAAGAACGCAGCGAAAUGCGAUACUUGGUGUGAAUUGCAGAAUCCCGUGAACCAUCGAGUCUUUGAACGCAAGUUGCGCCCGAAGCCACUAGGCCGAGGGCACGCCUGCCUGGGCGUCACACGCCGUUGCCCCCCCAUCUACUCCUUCGGGAUUGCGGGGGGGCGGAUGAUGGCCUCCCGUGCGCCUAGCCGCGCGGUUGGCAUAAAUACCAAGUCCUCGGCGACGCACGCCACGACAAUCGGUGGUUGCGAAACCUCGGUUGCCCGUCGUGUGCGUUCGUCGCGCAUCGAGGGCUCGAAAAAAUGCUCGGCUCCGGCUGGGCUUUCAACGCGACCCCAGGUCAGGCAGGGUUACCCGCUGAAUUUAAGCAUAUCAAUAAGCGGAGGA